rnacentral:lncRNA from 1 species
GCAAUGCCUAUCUUUUGCCUUUCUUUGUAUCUCCAGCUCUUUGUAAAAUACCUAACACAUAACAAAUGCCUAAUAAACACUUAUUGACUGAUUGAUCUAGCUAGACCUGAAGGCAGGAAGACCUGAGACACUUUUUAGCUUUGUGACCUUGGCCAAGUCCCUUAAUUGUAGAAUUCCUUAAUUUCUUCAAAUAUAAAAUGGGGGAAAUAAUAGCACCCACCUCCUGAGAUUGUGUGAAGAUCAAAUGAGAUCAUAUUUGUGAAGAACUUAGCACACUGCCUGGUGCUUAGCAAGACCAUAAUUAAUGCUGGUUCCCUCCUCCUCCUUCCUUCUUAACCAUCCCAGUUUAUAGAGAUGUAUUUUUGUUUCCAAUGAACUCUCUUCAAUUUUCUCUGUUCUAGUUAUUUGGCACUUGGGAAAGCUUUUCUCUUUGUUAGCUGUCUUCAUAUAUCGUGUUUCACCAAUUUUGACAAUGAGCUCUGAAAGAACAGAAACCACAUUCCUACAGAACAUAUGACAAUGUCUUGUACACAAAAGAUGCUUGGUAGAUUUAUUGAAUGAGUGAAGAUAGGUUUCUCCCUACAGUCUGGUCUGUACUAUCCCUAAGCCUCCUCAAAAUAAGCAGUGUCCCUACCUUUUAGUACAGCUUCAUAUUGAGCAAUUCAAAUUCUCUCUUCCACUAAACCUGUUUAAUUUCAAAGGGAGAGUAAAGAAAAGAAACAAUCAGGAAAAUGCCAAGAGAAUUAUCUUCAUGGACCAUGAUUUCUUGAUUAUAGAAGUCAGCAGAAGUAGCAUUUGGAGAAGGGCUGGAACUGAAGUUUUGCAGCUCAGAAUACUCAAGACCUCCAAUAUGCUGUUGAGCACCACUCUGGGCCUUAUGAAUGCUGUUAAGCAGUGACUCAGAGGCAGUGAGACAGUGAUGACAAAAAAGAAGCAUAAGUUCCCCUCGCCUCAGAGACCUUCAGAGUGAGCUGCCUCAGUGCCCUGGGAAUGGAUACCAAUAAUCUCUUCCAAUAGUGAUCAU